ACUCCCUGGCAUUUUUUUUUUUUUUUUGGACCAUUGCUUUUUCUUAAACACCAGAACCAUUCUCCACUUUGAUCCUUAGUUCUUAUCUCAGAGACGAUGCCUUCUAUGUGAAAGUUGGGAAAGAGAAACAUUGUCCUUGAACCUUGGUGGGGGCUUGGCAAGAUCCCCUAAGAACCUUCAUCAAAUCCUAUCUGCAGUUGUGCCCAGCUCCCUUCCUACAGGCUGUAUCUCCUCUCUUGCACCUCUCUUUGCUGCAAGGACUAUAUCCAUGCCCCUGCUUGACAGAUGUCCUCCUUCCAUCUUAUAAAGGCUUUCGGUCCAUGGAUGAGGAAGCCAGGGACAAAAGGAGACCCACCCCAUCCUUCUGUGAAGAGCUAUUGCCUCCGACCCCUUUGGAAGUUAGAUGUAUUUUGACUCCUAUUUGAAUGGCAAACCCACUGCCUGAAGGUGGAGAGUGGGGGAGACUCGGGGAGGGUUUUGGUGCCGUGGCGCCUGCAACGCCUCCCAGAUGAGCAGCUAGCUGUAGACAUCCAAGGGUGUGCUUGCUGACAUUGGCUCCCGCAUGUAUUGGGCAUAAUCCUGUUUUAUUGUGUUUACCAUUGUGUACGAAGAACAUGACAUUGCAAAGAGGAGCAUCCUGGAUGAUGGAGCUGGUCCUCGGCAGACUUUCUCUAAAACUAGAGAUAAUCCCUCCUGCACCAGAACUCCAGUGUGAUGAUCCAGUCAGUGUCUCCAGCUCCCAUGUGCUUACAGGAGACCAAACAUCUGUCUUAGGCAAUUCUAGCCUCCUGCCUAUCCAAAGGCUGCUCCAAUCUGGCUGUGGAGACGUGAGGGAGGAUGGAGGAGACAGUUGCAUGGAGUCCGCAUACAGAAUAGAAGACCUUGAUGGGGUCAGAAGCACAGCUCCUUGACCCUCUAGAACAACAGCAUCACUUAGGAGACAAAGGAAGCGGGGAAGACAGCGGCUCCAUCAGACCAUAUGGGUGUUACCAGUUCCACAAAUCAUUCUCCACCUUUGUCCUAGCCUACAAAGAAGCAUCACAAAUUAUCUACAGAGAUCUUCUGGAAGGUUCACUCUGGAUUAAAUCAGGCUCAUCUCUCAGCAGCUGGUCCCUCUCGCCUGAGAUCAAAAGGAUCUUGAACCUUCCAAGUGAACUGCUGUCAAGCGAACAGCAGGAGGACCUCAAAUAUUAUUUACAUAGAGUUUUCUUUCUCCAAUUAUGUAUUGGUUUCUUCUUGUUACAAGCCUAUUUUAUAAACAUGGAAACCAAGACACAAAAAAGAAAACAGUGUCGGGAUUAUGUAGGCAGCCAUUAGGCCAUUAGGCCAGAAAUGAAUAUAUCUUGAUACCACCUAUAUUUAUUCCAGCAUUUCCUUUCAAUUGCCUACAGAGAGAGAGAGAGAGAGAGAGAGAGAG